AAUGCACCAAUUUGUAAGUCGCUCUGGAUAAGAGCGUUUGAUAAAUGACGUAAA
rfam:Salmo salar isolate Sally breed double haploid chromosome ssa23, whole genome shotgun sequence.